UAAGACGAAGGGGGCUAGCGUUGUUCGGAAUUACUGGGCGUAAAGGGCGCGCAGGCGGCUCUACAAGUCAGGCGUUAAAGACCCAGGCUCAACCUGGGGAAUGCGCUUGAUACUGUAGGGCUUGAGAUCGGAAGAGGAGAGUGGAAUUCCCAGUGUAGAGGUGAAAUUCGUAGAUAUUGGGAAGAACACCAGUGGCGAAGGCGGCUCUCUGGUCCGAUUCUGACGCUGAGGCGCGAAAGCGUGGGGAGCAAACAGG
rnacentral:rRNA from 1 species